rnacentral:tRNA from 1 species
AGCUCUGAGGUGUCCCCAACAUAUUAGAUUGCAAAUCUUAAGUAGCAGAUUAACGUCUGCCGGGGCUU